AGUGAACGCUGGCGGUAGGCCUAACACAUGCAAGUCGAACGGCAGCACAGUAAGAGCUUGCUCUUACGGGUGGCGAGUGGCGGACGGGUGAGGAAUACAUCGGAAUCUACUUUUUCGUGGGGGAUAACGUAGGGAAACUUACGCUAAUACCGCAUACGACCUACGGGUGAAAGCAGGGGAUCUUCGGACCUUGCGCGAUUGAAUGAGCCGAUGUCGGAUUAGCUAGUUGGCGGGGUAAAGGCCCACCAAGGCGACGAUCCGUAGCUGGUCUGAGAGGAUGAUCAGUCACACUGGCUGUGAGAGACGGUGCAGACACUUACGAGAGGCAGGAGUGGGCAGUAUCGGACAAUGGGAGCAAGCCUGAUACAGACAGUACGCGUGAGUGUAGUAGGCCUACGGGGUGUAAAGAACUAUUGUUGGGAUAGAAAAGCACCAGGUUAAAUCCCCGCUGUCCUGAAGGUCCCGAAAGCAUGAGCACGGGCUAAUCUCAU
rnacentral:rRNA from 1 species